AUGCAAAGGAACUCCAGGAAGGCCAAUAACUCUCUGCAGAUGCUCAUAUGCUGGGAAAUUUGGAACGAAAGGAACACUAGGGUCUUCCGCUCCAAAGCAUUACAUACUUCUAGGGUGGCCGCGACAAUUAAGGAUGAGGCGAAUACUUGGGUUAUCGUCGGGGCUAGAUUGUUGGGAAACUUAAUUCUAGGAGAGUGA
rnacentral:rRNA from 1 species